AGUGAACGCUGGCGGUAGGCCUAACACAUGCAAGUCGAACGGCAGCACAGGAGAGCUUGCUCUCUGGGUGGCGAGUGGCGGACGGGAGAGGAAUACAUCGGAAUCUACUUUUUCGUGGGGGAUAACGUAGGGAAACUUACGCUAAUACCGCAUACGACCUACGGGUGAAAGCAGGGGAUCUUCGGACCUUGCGCGAUUGAAUGAGCCGAUGUCGGAUUAGCUAGUUGGCGGGGUAAAGGCCCACCAAGGCGACGAUCCGUAGCUGGUCUGAGAGGAUGAUCAGCCACACUGGAACUGAGACACGGGCCAGACUCCUACGGGAGGCAGCAGUGGGGAAUAUUGGGCAAUGGGCGCAAGCCUGAUCCAGCCAUACCGCGUGGGUGAAGAAGGCCUUCGGGUUGUAAAGCCCUUUUGUUGGGAAAGAAAUCCAGCUGGUUAAUACCCGGUUGGGAUGACGGUACCCAAAGAAUAAGCACCGGCUAACUUCGUGCCAGCCGCCGCAGUAA
rnacentral:rRNA from 1 species